AUUGAACGCUGGCGGCAUGCUUUACACAUGCAAGUCGAGCGGCAGCGCGGGGGCAACCCUGGCGGCGAGCGGCGAACGGGCGAGUAAUGCAUCGGAACGUAUCCUCGAGUGGGGGCUAACCCAGCGAAAGUUGGGCUAAUACCGCAUGAGCUCUGAGGAGGAAAGCGGGGGACCUGCGAGGGCCUCGCGCUGGAGGAGCGGCCGAUGUCCGAUUAGCUAGUUGGUGGGGUAAAGGCUUACCAAGGCGACGAUCGGUAGCUGGUCUGAGAGGAUGAUCAGCCACACUGGGACUGAGACACGGCCCAGACUCCUACGGGAGGCAGCAGUGGGGAAGUGUGGACAAUGGGGGCAACCCUGAUCCAGCCAUGCCGCGUGAGUGAAGAAGGCCUUCGGGUUUUAAAGCUCUUUCGGAUGGAACGAAAUGGGCGGGACUAAUACUCCUGUCUGAUGACGGUACCGUAAGAAGAAGCACCGGCUAACUACGUG
rnacentral:rRNA from 1 species